rnacentral:rRNA from 1 species
AGCAGCCGCGGUAAUUCCAGCUCCAAUAGCGUAUAUUAAAGUUGUUGCAGUUAAAAAGCUCGUAGUUGAAUUUCGGGACUAAUAUGUCGGUCGUACUUUGUACGUACUAGCAUUAUUGGUUUCUCCCUUCUGACGAACCACGAUGUCAUUAAUUUGGUGUCUUGGGAAAUCAGAACUGUUACUUUGAAAAAAUUAGAGUGUUUAAAGCAAGCUCGCGCUUGAAUACAUUAGCAUGGAAUAAUGAAAUAGGACGUUUGAUUCUAUUUUGUUGGUUUCUAGGAUCGACGUAAUGAUUAAUAGGGAUAGUUGGGGGCAUUAGUAUUCAAUUGUCAGAGGUGAAAUUCUUGGAUUUAUUGAAGACUAACUACUGCGAAGGCAUUUGCCAAGGAUGUUUUCAUUAAUCAAGAACGAAAGUUAGGGGAUCGAAGACGAUCAGAUACCGUCGUAGUCUUAACCAUAAACUAUGCCGACUAGGGAUCGGAUGAUGUAAUUUUUAAUGACUCAUUCGGCGCCUUACGGG